UGUUAAAAGUAGCACCUUGUAUGGUUGGUUGUACAGUCAUAAGUCCAAAUUUUUUCAGCUUGAUGGGUUACUACUACCAUUUUGUAUAAUUAUGGGGCUACGCUCUGCAAGCUCCGCUAUUAAUUAAGUUGUCAUGUAUUUAUUAUGUCAGAUUAAAGAGUUAAGCAAGAAAAUUAGGGAGGCCCGACAAUGCUAGUCUAAAAGAAGAGAAAGUCACAAUUGUCCUCUUCCACUCAGAUGGCAAGGAAAAAUGCCAGUUUGAUAAAGGUCCUUUCUUCCAGGAGGUAUAGAACUGGGCAGGCUCCAAUAAGUCUUUACCACUACACUUCACUAUACAAAGAGUGAGGAUGAGGCUGAGAUUAAAUCACUGUGGGAAGAUUUAUUUAUUUA